GUUUUUAUAGUUGAAAUACAACGAUGGUUUUUCAUAUCAUUGGUCAUGGUUUAAAUCCAUGUGAAAACA
rnacentral:tRNA from 1 species